GACGAACGCUGGCGGCGUGCUUAACACAUGCAAGUCGAGCGGAGCGGCGAACGGGUGAGUAACGCGUGAGUAACUGCCCCCCUCUCCGGGAUAACAGUUGGAAACGGCUGCUAAUUCCGGAUAGUGGGGGAUGACUCGGAUCCGAUCACCUUGUUGGUGGGGUAGUGGCCUACCAAGGCGACGACGGGUAGCUGGCCUGAGAGGGCGACCGGCCACAUUGGGCUGAGAAACGGCCCAAAAGCGUACGGGAGGCAGCAGGGGGAAAUAUGGCACAAAGGGGGAAACCCUGAAGCAGAAACGCCGCGGGCGGGAGGACGGGUUGCGGGUUGUAAACAGCAUUCAGAGAUGACGCGGUAGUGGCAGAAGAAGCAACGGCUAACUACGUGCCAGCAGCCGCGGUAAUAC
rnacentral:rRNA from 1 species